rnacentral:rRNA from 1 species
GACGAACGCUGGCGGCGUGCCUAAUACAUGCAAGUAGAACGCACAGUUUAUACCGUAGCUUGCUACACCAUAGACUGUGAGUUGCGAACGGGUGAGUAACGCGUAGGUAACCUGCCUGGUAGCGGGGGAUAACUAUUGGAAACGAUAGCUAAUACCGCAUAAUAUUGAUUAUUGCAUGAUAAUUGAUUGAAAGAUGCUAUUGCAUCACUACCAGAUGGACCUGCGUUGUAUUAGCUAGUAGGUGAGGUAACGGCUCACCUAGGCGACGAAACAUAGCCGACCCUGAGGGGGUGAUCGGCAAACCUGGACCGGGACAAGGCCCAGACCUCUAAGGGAGGGAGCAGUAGGGAAAUUUCCGGAAAGGGAGGAAGGCCUGACGGGGAACGGCGGGGGAGUGAAGAAGGUUUUCGGAUCGGAAAGCUCGGUUGUAAGAGAGGAACGGGUGUGAGAGUGGAAAGUUCACACUGUGACGGUAUCUUACCAGAAAGGGACGGCUAACUACGUG